GACGAACGCUGGCGGCGCGACCUAACACAUGCAAGUCGAACGAGAGAUGAGGAGCGUUGCUCUUCAAAUCGAGUGGCGAACGGGUGAGUAACGCGUGAGGAACCUGCCUCAAAGAGGGGGACAACAGUUGGAAACGACUGCUAAUACCGCAUAAGCCCACAGCUCGGCAUCGAGCAGAGGGAAAAGGAGCAAUCCGCUUUGAGAUGGCCUCGCGUCCGAUUAGCUAGUUGGUGAGGUAACGGCCCACCAAGGCGACGAUCGGUAGCCGGACUGAGAGGUUGAACGGCCACAUUGGGACUGAGACACGGCCCAGACUCCUACGGGAGGCAGCAGUGGGGAAUAUUGCACAAUGGGGGAAACCCUGAUGCAGCGACGCCGCGUGGAGGAAGAAGGUCUUCGGAUUGUAAACUCCUGUUGUUGAGGAAGAUAAUGACGGUACUCAACAAGGAAGUGACGGCUAACUACGUG
rnacentral:rRNA from 1 species